AGCAGUAGCCGCGGGAAUACGUAGGGUGCGAGCGUUAAUCGGAAUUACUGGGCGUAAAGCGAGCGCAGACGGUUAUUUAAGCAGGAUGUGAAAUCCCCGGGCUUAACCUGGGAACUGCGUUCUGAACUGGAUAGCUAGAGUGUGUCAGAGGGGGGUAGAAUUCCACGUGUAGCAGUGAAAUGCGUGGAGAUGUGGAGGAAUACCGAUGGCGAAGGCAGCCCCCUGGGAUAACACUGACGUUCAUGCUCGAAAGCGUGGGUAGCAAACAGGAUUAGAUACCCGUGUAGUCCCUGUCUCUUAUAA
rnacentral:rRNA from 1 species